CCGCCGUAUGAUUAAUAGGGACAGUCGGGGGCAUCAGUAUUCAAUUGUCAGAGGAGAAAUUCUUGGAUUUAUUGAAGACUAACUACUGCGAAAGCAUUUGCCAAGGAUGUUUUCAUUUAUCAGGAACGAAAGUUAGGGGAUCGAAGACGAUCAGAUACCGUCGUAGUCUUAACCAUAAACUAUGCCGACUAGGGAUCGGACGAUGUUAUUUUUUGACUCGUUCGGCACCUUACGAGAAAUCAAAGUGCUUGGGCUCCAGGGGGAGUAUGGUCGCAAGGCUGAAACUUAAAGAAAUUGACGGAAGGGCACCACCAGGGGUGGAGCCUGCGGCUUAAUUUGACUCAACACGGGGAAACUCACCAGUCCAGACACAAUGAGGAUUGACAGAUUGAGAGCUCUUUCUUGAUUUGUGGGUGGUGUGCAUGGCCGUUCUUAGUUGGUGGAGUGAUUUGUCUGCUUAUUUGCGAUACGACGAGACCUUAACCUGCUAAAUAGCCCGUAUGCUUGCAGUACGCCGGCUCUAGAGGGACUAUCGGCUCAGCCGAUGAGUUGAGCAUACAGUCUGUGAUGCCCUAGAUGUCUGGCCGCACGCCGCGUACACUGACGAGCAGCGAGUACUCCAUGUGAGACUGGUAAACUCUGUCUGCUGGAG
rnacentral:rRNA from 1 species